CCUACGGGGGGCUGCAGUGAGGAAUAUUGGUCAAUGGACGAGAGUCUGAACCAGCCAAGUAGCGUGAAGGAUGACUGCCCUAUGGGUUGUAAACUUCUUUUAUAUGGGAAUAAAAUGUUCCACGUGUGGGAUUUUGUAUGUACCAUAUGAAUAAGGAUCGGCUAACUCCGUGCCAGCAGCCGCGGUAAUACGGAGGAUCCGAGCGUUAUCCGGAUUUAUUGGGUUUAAAGGGAGCGUAGGUGGAUUGUUAAGUCAGUUGUGAAAGUUUGCGGCUCAUCCGUAAAAUUGCAGUUGAAACUGGCAGUCUUGAGUACAGUAGAGGUGGGCGGAAUUCGUGGUGUAGCGGUGAAAUGCUUAGAUAUCACGAAGAACUCCGAUUGCGAAGGCAGUUCACUGGACUGCAACUGACACUGAGGCUCGAAAGUGUGGGUAUCAAACAGGAUUAGAUACCCGAGUAGUC
rnacentral:rRNA from 1 species